rnacentral:rRNA from 1 species
ACACAUGCAGUCGAGCGGUAGAGAGGUGCUUGCACCUCUCGAGAGCGGCGGACGGGUGAGUAAUACCUAGGAAUCUGCCUGGUAGUGGGGGAUAACGUUCGGAAACGGACGCUAGUACCGCAUACGUCCUACGGGAGAAAGCAGGGGACCUUCGGGCCUUGCGCUAUCAGAUGAGCCUAGGUCGGAUUAGCUAGUUGGUGAGGUAAUGGCUCACCAAGGCUACGAUCCGUAACUGGUCUGAGAGGAUGAUCAGUCACACUGGAACUGAGACACGGUCCAGACUCCUACGGGAGGCAGCAGUGGGGAAUAUUGGACAAUGGGCGAAAGCCUGAUCCAGCCAUGCCGCGUGCGUGAAGAAGGUCUUCGGAUUGUAAAGCACUUUAAGUUGGGAGGAAGGGCAUUAACCUAAUACGUUAGUGCUUUGACGUUACCGACAGAAUAAGCACCGGCUAACUCUGUGCCAGCAGCCGCGGUAAUACAGAGGGUGCAAGCGUUAAUCGGAAUUACUGGGCGUAAAGCGCGCGUAGGUGGUUUGUUAAGUUGAAUGUGAAAUCCCCGGGCUCAACCUGGGAACUGCAUCCAAAACUGGCAAGCUAGAGUAUGGUAGAGGGUGGUGGAAUUUCCUGUGUAGCGGUGAAAUGCGUAGAUAUAGGAAGGAACACCAGUGGCGAAAGCGACCACCUGGACUGAUACUGACACUGAGGUGCGAAAGCGUGGGGAGCAAACAGGA